GGAAGGAUCAUUAGAGGAACUCUUUAAAAAAAAAAUAAUUGGUCUAGGGUUAUUUUUUAACCCUAGCCAGUUAUUUUUGAUACAGUUUUAAAAAGUCGUCACUAGAAGUCGUACUUAACCCUAACCCCAAAAAAAAUAAUUAAAAAAACAAAAAAAAAACAUUACAACUUUUAACGGUGGAUGUCUCGGCUUUCGUAUCGAUGAAGAACGUAGCAAAGUGCGAUAAGUGAUGGAAAUUGCGGAAUACUUCGACUCAUCGAAUUUUUGAAUGCAACCUGCACCCAGGGACUCGUUCUCAGGGUAUACCUAUUUGAGCUCGGUCUAAAUAACUCUUAAAAAAAAUUUUUUUUUAAGGCAAGUUGAGGCGUUAACUUUAACGUACAAAUUUAUUUUGUGCCGAUACAGUUAUCCCUUUAAAAGGUUAUAGUUGGGUUUUACCAAAAAAAACUCCCUCUAACUUUAUUCACCGAUAGAAAUUUUUCUUUUUGGCUGAAUAGUUUUAGGGCAGUGGAAAAACUUUAACGAUAAAAAAAAAAUGCUAGACUCUUUAAACAGGGCUAGAAAAAUUUUUUUAACGGCUUCUUAAUUGAAGUUUACCGACUCAAAUUAGGUAAGACUACCCGCUGAAUUUAAGCAUAUUAUUAGGCGGAGGAAAAGAAAUUAACAAAGAUUCCCCCAGUAAUGGCGAAUGAACAGGGAAAAGCUCACGCUGAAUCUGUAGAGACUAAGCUCUUUACCGAAAUGUAGCGUAUCAACUGGCCUUCUCGGCUCACUAGUUUUUUGAAGUCCUCUGGAACGGGCGCCAUAGAGGGUGACAGCCCCGUAAUUUAUCUAGUGGGUCGAAUUUUUGGUCAGCUUGUAGAGUCGGGUUGUUUUGGAGUACAACUCUAAUCGGGUGAUAAACUUCAUCCAAAGCUAAAUAUUGACGAAAGACCGAUAGCGAACAAGUACCGUGAGGGAAAGGUGAAAAGAACUUUGAAAAGAGAGUUAAAAGUACCUGAAACCGUUAAAAGGUAAGCGAUCGGCACCAUCGUUUUACCGAACCUGUGAUUCAUCCUCUUGCUUACUAGUGGUAGUGCUUCAGUGAGUCCUUACCGGUCCACUAGGUGUUACUGCGAAGAAGUGGGGGGUGCACUUUGUGGGUUUGUUCUGUCAGAGUCAUCUUCCUUAGCGACAAUAAGGGCUGCAGGCUGGUACCUGGCUUUGCAUGUGGGAUAACCUGUAGAUUUCCUGUCGUUGAGGGGAUGAGGGUCUCUAAAGAGAUAACAUUAUUGGGGGUAUUCUUAAUUAGGGAUCAGUGGUGGGGUAACACCUUCUGCUGACUCGAGUUUUGAACCCAGUAUGGACUUUGGCAUAGAUGGAAUUGAUCGUCCCGUCUUGAAACACGGACCAAGGAGUUUAAAUUGUGCGCGAGUUUUAGGGCUUGUAAACCCAAGGGCGAAAUGAAAGUAAAUAAACGCCUGAAGCCCCUUAACUGGGGACCUGCAAGGUGAACCGACAUUGCUUUACGAAGCCAGUGUUCGAGUAAGAGCGUACAGUUUAAGACCCGAAAGGUGGCGAACUAUGCUUGUGUAGAGUGAAGCCAGAAGAAAUUCUGGUGGAGGCUCGUAGCGGUAUUGACGUGCAAAUCAUUCGUCAAACAUGAGUAUAGCGGCGAAAGACUAAUCGAGCCGCCUAGUAGCUGGUUCCUCU
rnacentral:misc_RNA from 1 species